rnacentral:sRNA from 1 species
GUCCCCACAAAAUAAAAAAUCAAUAUUUUUUCUGUUUCUUGUUCCUUUAUUUAAAAUCUGUCUGGGUAUUGGACAAUCAUUUAUUAAUACGUGGAUUAGUACCUUAAACACUGUAGAACUUAUAAUUAAACGGCAUAAGCGGGUGUAGUAGGUUAGGGUCGGGUGGUGGUGGGGUAAUAUCCAGAAAAACAUUUGGAACACUUCAAUAAUUUACGGAAAAAAAUACCUCCUGCAGACACUUUUUCUUUCGGAGGUAAAUAGAACUGAACCUAGAAAAUUGUCAGCGGCAUAAUGAUUAGGGGGAGAAUUAUCAGCUGGAUCUGAUCAGCUUUUUCAUUUCCGUGAUUGAAAAUAUUCCUUGGGAGAUUCACCAAACUCCACAGAUUUCCGAGACUAAACCGACUAAAAAUCAAUGGGGGCCUUGGAAAAAUAAUCACUAAACCCGAUUUUAAACCAAUGAAAGAUCGGUCGAGAUAGGUUUCUUAGAUUCUUUUUGGAAAUAUGUACAAAACUCGUUGAAUAUUGAAAUGGUUCGGACCCGCUUUUAAGCUUUAACAAAACUUUAACAUUAUUAAAAGAUCUAAAUGGAAAAAGGUUCAAUAAAGACGACUGGCGCUGGACAACUGGCGCUGAAUAAAAUGAUUGAAUAAACUACAAAAUAUAUAAAAGCUUGUGUGUUCUUCUUUUAAUGGAUACAAAUGGGGGAUUUGGGUUCUGGAGAAGCAAAUAAUAAACACUAAACGUCUGCUCAACAAUUAAAAUUUAUUCAAAAAUAAAUUAAUUAUUUUCCAUCCAUCGUUAUUUUUUUUUGUUUUAUUUUAUAAAAUUCUUACACGACGUUUACAUAUAUAUAGAGAAUGGGCGACAUAUCCACGAGCAGCUGUUGUGUCUUGUGUGUGGGUGGAUCGGCCUUUCAACUGCGGCUA